CGUACCGUCCAAACGUUAUUCGGAAUUACUGGGCUUAAAGGGUACGUAGGCGGCGCUGUCAGUCGGGUGUGAAAGCCCUCGGCUCAACCGAGGAAUUGCGCCCGAUACUGCAGUGCUUGAGGGAGACAGAGGUAAGCGGAACUGAUGGUGGAGCGGUGAAAUGCGUUGAUAUCAUCAGGAACACCAGUGGCGAAAGCGGCUUACUGGGUCUCUUCUGACGCUGAGGUACGAAAGCUAGGGGAGCGAAGGGGAUUAGAUACCCCCGUAGUCCUAGCCGUAAACUCUGUGCACUUGAUCGAGGGCCCCCCCAUAGGCUCCCGGUCGUAGCGAAAGUGUUAAGUGCACCGCCUGGGGAGUAUGGUCGCAAGGCUG
rnacentral:rRNA from 1 species